rnacentral:rRNA from 1 species
UACGGAGGGUGCAAGCGUUAUCCGGAUUCACUGGGUUUAAAGGGUGCGUAGGAGGGCGGAUAAGUCAGUGGUGAAAUCUUCGAGCUUAACUCGGAAACUGCCGUUGAUACUAUUUGUCUUGAAUAUCGUGGAGGUGAGCGGAAUAUGUCAUGUAGCGGUGAAAUGCUUAGAUAUGACAUAGAACACCAAUUGCGAAGGCAGCUCGCUACACGAAUAUUGACUCUGAGGCACGAAAGCGUGGGGAGCAAACAGG